UACGUAGGUGGCAAGCGUUAUCCGGAUUUACUGGGUGUAAAGGGAGCGUAGACGGCGGUGCAAGCCAGAUGUGAAAGCCCGGGGCUCAACCCCGGGACUGCAUUUGGAACUGUAUGGCUGGAGUGUCGGAGAGGCAAGUGGAAUUCCUAGUGUAGCGGUGAAAUGCGUAGAUAUUAGGAGGAACACCAGUGGCGAAGGCGGCUUGCUGGACGAUGACUGACGUUGAGGCUCGAAAGCGUGGGGAGCAAACAGG
rnacentral:rRNA from 1 species